rnacentral:misc_RNA from 1 species
GAUGAAGAACGCAGCAAAAUGCGAUAAGUAAUGUGAAUUGCAGAAUUCAGUGAAUCAUCGAAUCUUUGAACGCACAUUGCGCCCGCCAGUAUUCUGGCGGGCAUGCCUGUUCGAGCGUCAUUUCAACCCUCAAGCACAGCUUGGUGUUGGGACUCGCGUUAAUUCGCGUUCCUCAAAUUGAUUGGCGGUCACGUCGAGCUUCCAUAGCGUAGUAGUAAAACCCUCGUUACUGGUAAUCGUCGCGGCCACGCUGUUAAACCCCAACUUCUGAAUGUUGACCUCGGAUCAGGUAGGAAUACCCGCUGAACUUAAGCAUAUCAAUAAGCGGAGG